UGUUACGGGGAAGGGAGGGGGAAAUGAAGGAGAUGGUGUGAAAGAAAAUAAUAAAUAAAUCUCCAGUGCGGGAAUUCAGAAUCGCCUCAACCUCCGCCUCCCCCGAGCUGCCUGCUGUCCCCUCGAUCAGUAGAGGGCAAAAAGAGAUGUUUCGAAUGAAGAUGACCUACAAACACACUGAAGUACACAGACGCUGUGACAGAAUGGGCUUGCCGCCUAUUGAGCCGUUUGCAGAGCCGCACGGUUAGAUAAACGAUGGAGAAAAGCCCAUAACUGAAUUUGAACACUCAAAUAAAUGUCACUGGAGGGACGAAAAUUUACUUGAUAUCCCCCGCCCCCUGCAAUCAAUACCGGAAAAGCCGCAGCGAAUAAUGGUUUAGGACAUGUAUUGACAUUUGCUGCUAAAAGUAUCCUCUCAUUGACUUUUUUUUAUUCUGGCAAGAAGCGUGAUACGGUACUUUCAUCCUCCAACAAUACCUCCAGUGACAAAACAACGAUUUUACAUACAUCGUGUGACAAGUAAGCGGCUCUUCGCUUCAUUUCUCAUCAACUGGCGUGGCAUACACAGUUUUAACGAGUUACGUUCCGGCACAUACUGCAAUGGUCUGGGACUGGUCGGGGAGACGGUCUCAGGCUAUAGUCACGACAGCGUGGAAUCUGUCACAUGAAUGUUCUGAAGAGAACCCCAGGGGUAUUCCUGUGAGUUGCCCCCCACAGGCCACUCGGGGGUGAGGCUGACUCGUCUUCCUAACCUUGCGAUGAACAGCUGCAGCACAGUGCUCCAUUACCAGCAAACUCGCGAUUUUGAUACGGAGUGAAUUCAAACAAAACUGAAUUGUGAUCUGAAUACAUGGCGAAACGCGUGCUGAGAGAUCCAGUGUAUUAUCUGCGAUGCCCAGACUACGUUUUAUAAAAAAAAUCUUUCAGUCACUUGCUAUGCCAGUGGAAUGUCUUGCAGCUGAGAUUAAAAAGAACAAGCUGUUCCUUCCCGUGGCCAUUGAUCCAACUCAGCUCCUAGCAGACAUUACAUGUAUUUUGCAAAUUCCCAGAAGUACCUCGGAUCGACUAGUUGAAGAUGUGUGCAAAGCGUUCCUUUACAGCUUAUUAAAGGCUUCUUUGCAAGUCGUA